UACGGGGGAGCAAGCGUUGUUCGGAUUUACUGGGCGUAAAGGGCGCGUAGGCGGCCAGCACAAGUCAGUUGUGAAAUCUCCGAGCUUAACUCGGAAAGGUCAACUGAUACUGUGCGGCUAGAGUGGCGGAAGGGGCAACUGGAAUUCUUGGUGUAGCGGUGAAAUGCGUAGAUAUCGAGAGGAACACCAGUGGCGAAGGCGAGUCCCUGGACAACACCUGACACUGAGGCACGAAAGCUAGGGGAGCAAACAGG
rnacentral:rRNA from 1 species